UAUUAUUGAAAAUAAGAAAACCGUUAAUUGCAUAUAUACCUAUACCACACAUUUAUUAUUUGUAUUUAUGUAAAAUCGUGGUUGUCAAACUUUUAACAUUUGUCAUGCGUUUCUUUAGUGUACCAGGCAGUCGUUCAUCGAGUUUGAAACCGACGACGCCGUGGAGACAGCUUUUGUAUUACGUCCGCGACAACCUAACCUAACUUUACGUAAGGCGGCGGUCUGAAGAGGAAAGUGCAUUCGCCUUCCAAAAUUGUAUAAUUUUGAAUUAUUAAAAAUAAAUAAUAGUUUAAUCGUUUAUGAUGUAUUGUUAAAAGAAAAACAUCGUAUUACUUACGGCCACCCAAGCGAAAUGGGCCCAGGUGAUAUAGGUCUGAUCUAACCUAAACUAACCCGCACCCUCUAAUCCCUCUUAGGUACACCACUGGUUACAGUGCAUGAUUAUAACAGUGGACUGUUACACAAUAUUCGUUAACAUUUAAUCAAUUCGUUGGUAUCUUUGAUGCCGAAAUGAAGAAAUUUAUCUACUUAUCAUUUUAUCAAGGUCCAUAUUUUGGUGUGUAUUAUAUUAUGUAAUAGAAAAUAUUUUCAUUUACACAACAUGUUUGAAAAUAAAAAUAAA